rnacentral:tRNA from 2 species
GGAGAGAUGCCGGAGCGGCCGAACGGGAUGGUUUUGAAAACCAUUGACCUCGCAAGGGGUCCCUGGGUUCGAAUCCCAGUCUCUCCGCCA